rnacentral:snoRNA from 1 species
CCCCUCUCAGGGUUUCACCUGGAGAGUUUCCGGUACUCUACUAGACUCGGCUACGGGAGGGAGAGUCAAGCAGAGGCCUACCCAUUCCAUUUCUAGCUUGGUCAGUGGCUAGCGAGUGGAAGGCAAUCUCUGCUACAAGU